UGGGUGAGUGGUGACAUAGACACAACUCAAGAAAAGAUGAAAAAUUAUGGAUAAGAAGCUCCAGUGUUUAACUCCCCCUCCCAAAACAUCCGAGCUUUCGAUCACCUGCCAGCAACACCCCAAGCCCCCCGUGCCUCCGUCUCUUCCUCCCCAAUGGCUGGUCUCACCAGCACAUUCCCCAUGAGACCCAGUCUUUACAAAACCCGAAGUACCUUUUUCCCCAGUUCCUACUUCUUUGGCCUCCGCCUACUUCACCACCACCCUAUCACUUCCGCUACCACUAUUCCCGUUUCCCUCGCAUCCCGCAUCACCUCCAUUUCUGCCCGCUCCGGCGGCGGGGGCGGAGGGUAUUACAGGAGGUCCCCGCCUCCAGUUGAGGAAGAUCAAGCUCUUGAUAUCUCCUCCAUUGGGUCUGAUCAAGUAAGGCUUAUUGAUGAACAGCAAAACAUGGUGGGAAUAGUUUCAAAAAGUGUGGCACUUCAAAUGGCUGAAGAUGCAGAACUUGACUUGGUCAUAUUGUCUCCUGAUGCAGAUCCUCCAGUUGUACGAAUUAUGGAUUAUGACAAGUACAGGUAUGAGCAGCAAAAGAAGAAAAAGGAGCAGCAAAAGAAAAGUGCUGCCAGCCGUAUGGAUUUGAAAGAACUCAAGAUGGGGUAUAACAUUGAUGUGCAUGAUUAUUCUGUGCGUUUGAGGCAAGCACAGAAGUUUCUGAGAGAUGGUGACAAGGUCAAGGUCAUCGUAAACUUGAAGGGCCGGGAAAAUGAGUUCAGGAACAAUGCUAUCGAGCUUCUAGAACGCUUCCAAAGUGAUCUCGGAGAGGUCUGGCUUGUGGAAGCUGGCCAGAGACGUGAGAUUAGGGGCAAACGCCUGAUGGGGCUAUAUGUGAAGUUUUGGGUGGCUUAGGUAGGAGUAGGGAUGGACUGUUUUGCAAGGGAGCGGCGAGGGGAGGGGAGGAUAGGGAAAUGUGGUGCUGCCUAUGUAGGAAACAGGGUUAAUCGUAGGGGAGAGCAAAUGGAUUCAGGAGCUUGUUAGGUGUCAGUGGAAGGGUUUGGGAUGGCUGCAGGGGUUUUUUGGUGUGGGAGGGAGUUGCUGGGCUAAACAGCUGGGGAAGUGUAGGCUGGAGGCCCUCUUUCUUUACACCUUACCAUUGUUUUUUUGGUUGUGGAGGGGGUGGGGUGGGGUAGGGGGCAGGCGGGAUAAUUUGAGCAAAAUUUAAUGGAGCGUUUAUGAAGCGGCAUAACCAGUAGUUUAGUUGGCUAUGUGUGAUUUGCCCCUGAUGCCAAAGAAUUAUUUUCUUCUUUAAGCUAGCGACUCGAGAGAACAAAAACUUCAAAGACAGGAAUGUAUUUAUAAUUUUGGUUCCAAACAAGGUUGUUGUACAGAAAGCUCAGGAAGAGCAAAAGAAAAAGGAUAAGUCAGUGGCAGCUGAAGUCUCAGCCAGUGUCUAGCCUUAUUCCAGAUGUGAUGAUCCUUGAGACAGGAAGUUAGCUAGUAGCAUACGCGUUUGUAUACAGCUGAUAUCAGGAAUCUCACUAGGAUUUAUUGUUCUUUGUAUAGAAGUAGUGAUAUAUACUGUUAUGAGUAAAUAGCUUUGCUGCAUUUUCAAUAGCAACCCUUUGAAUUUUUUCUCUGGCAUCUUUCUAUAUGAUGGUUAUUCUAAGCUUUUUCUUGUAGCCAA